AAUUCAUCAGUGAAGAGGCUGUUUCUUGGCUAUAGUCGCAUGGAAUGAGACUUAAGAAAGGAAAGAAAAGGACAGUUGCGAUGGCCAAGAUCUCCUUGCCAUCGCCCAAGAUGCAGACGUACCAAGGCACUACAUCCCUAUUAUAAAAGAGCGUCUAAAGUUCAAGAAAUUGAUUGCAAUGAACGCUGAACCUAGAGAUGACACGAGUUCUUCGUCGCGUGCAGAAUCAAGUCCUUCGAUUAAGACGGUUCAAACGUCGAUUGAUGAUUCAGAUAACAUCAGCGAUUGUGAAAAUUUAGAGGUGACAUUGGCACCGAAAGAAAAGGGUAAAUCGCCCAAGGAUCUCUGUUUUACGGACGAGGCGACAGAACUGAGUACUGUCUAAGUUCCUCCUGGAUGGCUUUCAAAAUUCCAACUACCAUCGAGGUUCUCUGCCUCAGUAGAGUUGGAUAUCCAGAAGGGAUAUCUCAUCAGCAGCCUAAAGUACUCUGAGCAGCAGUGGAUUGCAAAAAAAAAUUAUUGCAGAGUAUCCUUGUAUGGCAAGCAGGAUACUAGACUAAGUUGACUUGGAAACUGAAUUGAUUGGUUUGGUUUAAAAAUCUAUUGCUUCACCUCUUCUGCUUGCAGUGAAGAGAGACAAUUUUGUGGUGGUGAAUUUCCAUUUCUGGUGUUUUAGUUUAUGGUUUUUAGAAAAACAUUAUAUAUAUGUGACCCUCCAUGGGAAAACGGACACUAACGCUUUUCCGUUAAACGGUCUCGAAAAACGGAUGUAAACGGAUAAUAAACGGCUAACUCGAGCGUUUAAAGGGAUGCCAUAACCGCAAAAAAUUUAAACGGUUGACCAAAGUCCAAAAACGGAUAGCUUAGGCCUUCAAACGGUUGACCAAAAAUAAAAACGGAUAGCACGAAACGUUAAACGGUUGACCAAAGUUCAAAAACGGAUAGCUCACACUGUUAAACGGUUGACCAAAAAUAAAAACGGUCAGCCCGAAACGUUAAACAGUUGACCAAAGUCCAAAAACGGAUAGCUUAAACCGAGAAACGGUUGACCAAAAUCGACAAACGAUGAGCUAAAAAUUGAUGUUUAACGGCUGUGAUUGAGCCGGCGAGAUCUUCUGCGGAAAAACUUUCGGAGUGACAACGGAUAAUUAUCCUUCAAAGCGAAAACAUUGAGCAUGAUAAUUUGAAAAAUAAUAGCUAGCAUAUACUUGCGCAUUUUAUUUCUGGGUUAAGUACUGCCGCUUUCGUGUGACAUUCAUGAAAUAAGCGCAAUUUACUGAGAAUAGUUUCGCUGCCGAAUAUCCUGAACGGCUACUGCGAGAAACUCAUAAUCUUCUCCUUUGUUUAUUCUUAUUAUUAUUGAAAAUGAACUUCAUUUUUUCCUGUUCGGAAGUUUCGCGAAACAAAUAUGCAUAUGCAAUGCCACCGCCUUGUCUAAAGCCGAAACGUUUCAAGGUCAAAUAACGCAAUGAAGUUCCAUUGCAAAUAAAAGGUCGAAUCGGUGUCACGCACCGAGCGGGGCCGUUAAAAUGAUUGUCAAUAAAACCAAGAAAGAUGAAUCAAGAUGAUAUAAACAGAAAGAGAGUAGCCGAUUUAGCAGUCCAUCAAUUAGGAACAAUUUAAAACUAUGAGACGGGAACCAAGAGAGGGUUACCUCGAUUUCACUAAAUCUGUAAUCAAGAUCAGGCGCACUGUUCUGAUCGAUCAAAGUCGAUGGCAGGGUCAUGGUCAAAUGAAUGGCUUCAUUGCAAUUGGCUCUCGAUGCUCUUGGUUUUUACAAACGGAUAUUUCAACUUAAUUUGUUUGUCAAAGGAUGCGACGGAAACUCGCUUACUAUGAUCACGCAAAAGAUAAAACCAAAAUAAGAUACGGUCUUUCUGUAUUUCAAGAACCGGCGAGUAUCGAGCGAACGUAAGAUUGAUACUUCGAACUACCCGUAUCAGAAUGA